AUUGAACGCUGGCGGCAGGCCUAACACAUGCAAGUCGAACGGUAACAGGAAGCAGCUUGCUGCUUUGCUGACGAGUGGCGGACGGGUGAGUCAUGUCUGGGAAACUGCUCGAUGGAGGGGGAUAACUACUGGAAACGGUAGCUAAUACCGCAUAACGUCGCAAGCCCAAAGAGGGGGACCUUAGGGCCUCUUGCCAUCGGAUUUGCCCUGGUGGGAUUAGCUAGUAGGUGGGGUAACGGCUCACCUAGGCGACGAUCCCUAGCUGGUCUGAGAGGAUGACCAGCCACACUGGAACUGAGACACGGUCCAGACUCCUACGGGAGGCAGCAGUGGGGAAUAUUGCACAAUGGGCGCAAGCCUGAUGCAGCCAUGCCGCGUGUAUGAAGAAGGCCUUCGGGUUGUAAAGUACUUUCAGCGGGGAGGAAGGGAGUAAAGUUAAUACCUUUGCUCAUUGACGUUACCCGCAGAAGAAGCACCGGCUAACUCCGUG
rnacentral:rRNA from 1 species